rnacentral:rRNA from 1 species
AGCGAACGCUGGCGGCAUGCCUAACACAUGCAAGUCGAACGAGAUCUUCGGGUCUAGUGGCGCACGGGUGCGUAACGCGUGGGAAUCUGCCCUUUGGUUCGGAAUAACAGUUGGAAACGACUGCUAAUACCGGAUGAUGACGAAAGUCCAAAGAUUUAUCGCCAGAGGAUGAGCCGGCGUAGGAUUAGCUAGUUGGUGUGGUAAAGGCGCACCAAGGCGACGAUCCUUAGCUGGUCUGAGAGGAUGAUCAGCCACACUGGGACUGAGACACGGCCCAGACUCCUACGGGAGGCAGCAGUGGGGGAUAUUGGACAAUGGGCGAAAGCCUGAUCCAGCAAUGCCGCGUGAGUGAUGAAGGCCUUAGGGUUGUAAAGCUCUUUUACCCGGGAUGAUAAUGACAGUACCGGGAGAAUAAGCUCCGGCUAACUCCGUGCCAGCCGCCGCAGUAA